rnacentral:rRNA from 1 species
CCUACGGGCGGCAGCAGUGGGGAAUAUUGCACAAUGAGGGAAACCCUGAUGCAGCGACGCCGCGUGAAGGAAGAAGUACUUCGGUAUGUAAACUCCUAUCAGCAGGGACGAAAAUGACGGUACCUGACUAAGAAGCCCCGGCUAACUACGGACCAGCAGCCGCGGUAAUACGUAGGGGGCAAGCGUUAUCCGGAUUUACUGGGUGUAAAGGGAGCGUAGGCGGCGAUGCAAGUCAGAAGUGAAAGCCCGGGGCUCAACUCCGGGACUGCUUUUGAAACUGUAUGACUAGAUUGCAGGAGAGGCAAGUGGAAUUCCUGGUGUAGCGGUGAAAUGCGUAGAUAUUAGGAGGAACACCAGUGGCGAAGGCGGCUUACUGGACUGUAAAUGACGCUGAGGCUCGAAAGCGUGGGGAGCAAACAGGAUUAGAUACCCUAGUAGUC